rnacentral:lncRNA from 1 species
CAAUCUCAACUAAUCUUGGAACAAACUUGGCUAACUCCAUGAAUUUAGCUUCAUAUUCUGCAACGGAUCUGUUCUCCUGUUUCAGAUGAAUGAACUCCUGCUCUUUCUGUAUUCUAACACUUCGAGGGAAGUACUUGUCAAAAAAUUCAUCUCGAAAUCUCUCCCAAGUGAGUGGUAUCCUAUCAUGCUCAUAUUUUUGUUCCAGUAUACGCCACCAGUUGUAUGCCUCGCCUUGUAACAG